rnacentral:rRNA from 1 species
CGCCCGUCGCUCCUACCGAUUGGGUGUGCUGGUGAAGUGUUCGGAUUUGGCGAGGGAGGGUAACCGACCUCGCCGGAGAAGUUCAUUAAACCCUCCCACCGAGAGGAAGGAGAAGUCGUAACAAGGUUUCC